rnacentral:rRNA from 2 species
UGGGGGAUAUUGCACAAUGGGCGAAAGCCUGAUGCAGCGACGCCGCGUGAAGGAAGACGUACCUCGGUAUGUAAACUUCUAUCAGCAGGGAAGAAGAUGACGGUACCUGACUAAGAAGCCCCGGCUAACUACGUGCCAGCAGCCGCGGUAAUACGUAGGGGGCAAGCGUUAUCCGGAUUUACUGGGUGUAAAGGGAGCGUAGACGGCGAUGCAAGUCCGAUGUGAAAACCCGAGGCUCAACCACGGGAUUGCAUUGGAAACUGUAUUGCUUGAGUGCUGGAGGGGCAAGCGGAAUUCCUGGUGUAGCGGUGAAAUGCGUAGAUAUCAGGAGGAACACCGGUGGCGAAGGCGGCUUGCUGGACAGUAACUGACGUUGAGGCUCGAAAGCGUGGGGAGCAAACAGG